UGCCCACCCCAACUCAUGCCCUGACCAGAGACAUAACAAAAGGAACUAAGGUCAGGACGUGACAGACAUAUAAAGGGCAGGUAAUCAAGGAGGUGAUGGAGUCCAGAGGCUGACGGGAGAGAGCGUAUACCCAAGACUCCCCCUGCCUCCCCUACAUAGCCCAGCGCUACGGGUUGAUUGGAUGCCGGUGACAUCACCAGCGAGCGAAAACAGGCCUCUGGAAGGAUUUUGCCCGGAGUGGGACGGUCAAACGCUUUAAUCUCCGAGCUGCAAGAGGGAAGAGUAGAGCAUAUCCUUCCAGAGAGGUUCACAGACAGCCUAUAGAGUGGGCUCUGUUUGAGCAUGGCUGUCUGUGUUCAAGAAGAUGAGAUGUCCUUUCACUCUCGGCUGUAAGGUCGACAUUUGGACAGCUGUCACUCAAUGGUGUCUCUGUCCGAAUUUAAUGAGCCCAAUCCAAAUGUUCUUUAUCAGUCCAACCAUUUUAAGAGUACAGUAUUUCAUUAUGAUUAUAUUAAUAGCUACAUUUAUCAAACAAACCAUUCACUUCUGAACUGUUCCUGAACUGUGCCUGAAGUUUGAAGCACCCUCAAUCACACUCCUCGAGAGAUUAGAAGUAUACAUUAAAUAUGCAAGACUUUACAAACUCAUUGAGAGAGACCAUUGUUGAAUACUAAAGUCCAUAUGCUAGCUUGCACUGAAUACAAAGAAUUCUUAAGUUCAGGAAGAUGAAAUAGUGGUAGAUGGCGGAGAAGUUGAACUGAAAUGUAAACUCUACAGUCUACACUGUAAAUGUCCUUACCUCCAGAAAAUACUUAUGUUGGGAGU